GGUUGUGGAUGAUGAGUACAAAUAUCAAAAAACAGUUAUCCCUGUCUGAGGAUUUAUUCCUUUUGAUGAUUGAUUUGUAAUCUGACACUUAG
rnacentral:snoRNA from 1 species